AUCCAGCUGACGAGUACUAGAUAGGACGAAAUGCGCUUACUGGAU
rnacentral:hammerhead_ribozyme from 1 species